UGGAGGUGGUAUUUCAAUUUGUGUUUAUAAGCACUUAAACAGAUUGAAGAGGACUAUUGGGAACUGAAUUGGUUGUGGCCAAGAAGCCACCACUACCUACACCUGAAGUUAUAUAAUAAACUAGAAAUUUGGUGCCAAGGCGGUUUGCAAGACAGAAGAAGUGAAUGAAUCUGUACAAAAUGUUUGCUCAGGGUUAGCCAUUCCGCAACAAGGUCGUUGCUUAUUUCGCUGCUGGUUGCAGCUUCCAGAUAUGAAAGAUGCUGAGCAGUAUGCUGUAAAGAUUGCUAUCCAAAAGCUUGGCAUCCAGACAACGCCAAAUGAUCUGACCAUAGAGGAACUAUGUGAGGAUGCUUGUUGGUAGGCUGCGUGAUGGAGGUUAUUAGGGAUCUUUUAUCUACAUUUUGCCGUCUGCAUUGGCUACCUGAACAUGAAUUCACGACAACUUGUGUUAAUGAUUCACGAAAAAACAAAAAAGAUGAUUAUAUCAAAACUAAUUGGAGAAACUGAAAAUGGAGGUGUUGUUGAGGCUAAUAGCGGGGAGGUGAUAAUGGGUGCUGGAGCCACCUCUAAGUGUGAUGUGAAGAUAGUAUCCACGAGCCACGAUGUGGUUAUGGAGUGGUCACCUGGAGAUUGUUACAAAAAGCAAGGUGAUGCAAUACAGAGCACUUCUUGAAAGUCCUCUUGUGGCUGAAGAACAAGUAUUUUAAACAACUGGACAUUCCUAUAGAGAGGUGAAAGUUAUGUUCUUGGGAUCCGUAUGAUCUUUUCGAAGGAAGUUGCAAUCUGUUUAUCUAUACAUACUGGUCAGCAUGCUAGUUUCUUUUGAAGUGUUCAGUGGGUCUCCCGGAUCGUGUAGAGGAGCUCGUUGAGACGAAUAGGCAUUAUCACAUAGUUUCCCCUCCAAAAAGUGAAGGUCUCGAUUUUAGUCUCUACAUUAAAUGGCUCCCUGGUAUGCAUUAGCUAUGGUCGUUGGUUAGAGAAGGAGAGCAAGACAUGAAAGAAACAUUGAAAGUUUUGAAGAAUUUGAGUUUGAAACUGGAAGCGGUUUUGUUGAAACAUGUGUUACACAAACGUCUCUUGCUCAAUCUGCUAUUUACAUCACUGAGUUGCCACAUCAGCUCUUGGUUCUGGGUUCACUCAUGGUUCUGCUAAGUCUAUAUCAUCGUCAUCUUUGAUGUCUGAAGAGAUCUUUGUUAAUGGUGCUGCCAGAAAAAUUGGUAUGGCUGGGACUGUAGGUAAAGCGCUGCAAAAGCUUAAGAGUACUCUGGAGAUGAUCGCAGAUGUGACAUCGGACGUCAAAAAGAAGCAGAUGAAAGACAAAGUUGCGCAACUCUGGUUGAGAAGGCUCCAGGAUGUUGCAUAUGAUGCUGACGACAUUUUGAAUGAAAUUUCCUACUAAGCUAUGCGUCAAUCCAAGAGGAUGGAAAUACGGAUAAGGUAACAAGUUCUAUCUACAGUAAAAUUUGGUUUUAGAAAAAAAAAGUCGCUAGAAGAUCAAAAUCGUUAAUCAAGAGGUAGAUGAAUCGCGAAGCAGAACGACCAUAACGUUGAUGAUUAGAAUAUUGAACUUUCUUUUAUAGGCUAUAUUAUAAAAUUGUUGGAUAAAAUAUUAGGAAAUACGAUAUAUAUGGUAAGUGUCGUAGUGGUCUAGGACUCAAGAAUGUGUCUCGAGUCCCAAGUAUUUCCAAGACUGUUGGGAAGUUUAGGGAGAACUUUGGUCCAAGUAGGUAGCUAUCUUGAGACCGAUAAUUAAGGGCUCAAGUUGGUGUCUAGGGUUAAUAUCUUGUACACCAAGUAUGGUCUUGUAUAAAAGCUACGACAAUGCAUGAAUGAAAAGAAGAAAAGGGAAUUACCCAAAUCUUAACAUGGCAUCAAGAGCCAGGUUGAUUAACAAGAACCCGAGAACCCUAAUCCAGUAAACAUGGCGGAUGAUACAGAAUCAUCAAAAAAAGGAAAAGUUGUAGAGAACAGCAGAGGAGGUAGAGGACAGGGCAAUAUACGUGCGCAUAAUUUGAACAUCUCAGCAGCAGCGACAACUCAUUCUGGCGCUGGUUCUUCAGUAGAUGGAUCAGGAUUGACGGGCGUGACUGCAAGUCAGGUCCAGCAGGUGCUUGAGUAUUUAAAUUCAAGAAAAUUCAGUUCCCAGCUACAAGGUAAGACAAAUCAAACAUCCUGGAUUAUAGAUACAGGAGCUACAAAUCAUGUCACGUGUAAAAGAGAUGAUAUGAUAAAUGUGAAAGAUAUUAGAGCAUGCUCUGUGGGACUGCCAGACGGAAAACAUGCCCAGUCUGAGAAAAUAGGAACUGUUGUUCUUCCUGGUGGGUUGAGAUUGGACAAUGUUCUUUAUGUGCCACAGAUAACUUGUAACUUAAUUUCAGUUACACAGCUCAUUGAUGAGGUAGUAUGCAAUGUCCAAUGUACUAACAGUUUAUGUCUUAUAUAGGACUGGUUGACGAGGAAGGUGAUUGGAGUGCGUGAGUGACGAGGUGGAAUAUAUAUUUUCUGUGGUGUGCCUCCAGUUAAAGUGCUUGCGGUUAGUAAUGAUACGUAUGAGCUGUGGCAUCGACGAUUGGGACAUCCAUCAGAGAAAGUGUUACAACAGUUACCAGGUGUGGGUAGAUUAUUGAAGAAGAAUAAUGAUGCGUGUGAUAUUUUUCCGCGUGCAAAACAUCGUAGAAGUAGCUUUGCUAGUAGUUUGAGUAAAUCCAGUUGUAGUUUUGAUUUGGUUCAUAUAGAUUUAUUGGGCCCUUAUAAGAUGCAUUCGUCUUCUGGAGCUCAAUAUUUUCUGACAAUAGUAGAUGAUUUUUCAAGAGGUGUGUGG